CUAAUCUUUCAACUUUAAAAUAAUAAUAACAAUAAUAAUCGGUAGAAAGUGGAAGUAAGUGUCUUUCAGAUCCACUCUGGAGCACAGCGAGGAAGAUUUGGCCAGCCUGACGGAGUUCAUAGAUCGCUGCUACGACACGCUCGUCAUGGGGAAGCCAAACCAAACCUCAACUCCUGCCGGAGCUAAAGCUAAGAGGCUCCGGGAUGAUAAUUCAUCUGAAGCCAUUUCUCCACCUGGGAACGACUCGACGGAUGUUCUUCUCUCUAUAGAUAAGAAAUUGUCCAGUCUCGACGCUCGUCUGAGCCUGCUGGAAGUGCUCCAUCAGGAAUUCCAAGCUAUACGCCAGUCCCUGGAAUUCAGCCAGCAGCAGGUGGAGAAGCUGACGACGGAGAACACGAGCCUCAGAGAGUCGGUAAAAUCCCUCACAGAGGGGUUCAUCCGACUAUCAGAGGAAAAUAAAAAAAUUAAAGAAACUGUGAUUGAUCUCCAGUCCAGGAGCAUGAGAGACAACCUGGUCUUCUCUGGAAUCCCGGAACAGACGGAGGAAGACCCCGAGUCGACGGCGAAGAAUUUCAGACUCACCUGAAGCUCCCGGAGGAAACCGUUAAAAACAUCGCUUUCCUCAGAGUGCACCGUCUCGGAGGGAAACGACCCGGAGAGCACAGGCCGAGACCCAUCAUAGCAAAGUUUGCUAACUACAAGCAGAAGGAGCAGGUGAAGCGUCAGGGCCGGGAGCUGAAGGGAACCAACUUCGGCGUUAACGAUCAGUUCCCUAAAGAGAUCCUGGAUCGGCGCAGAGCCCUGUUUCCCAUCAGGAAGAAAGCUAUAGCCGAAGGCUCUCGUGCUGUCAUCGCGGUGGACAAACUAUUUAUCAACGGUCAACUGUACCGCGACCAGAACACCACUCCAUGGCUCUUCUGAUGUCAGAUCAAACUUGGCCCAGGAGUUUCCCUGAGCAUGGAGAAAUGGCAGAGGGUGCAGGAGGCCAAAUCAAACUCCCAAUUCUGCAAGUUAUUGGCAGUUUGUAUUUGGGGCACAGAGGGACUGAGAGAGAGAAGCGUCACAGGGGCCAAAUCAAACGCAGCCAAAGACGCUGUCCCCAAGCGUCCCCUGACCCCAGAAAAAGUGGCUGUCAUAAGAGACUGCCUGAGGGACCGGCUUCAGAAAAUGGGCCAUCCAAAAGAGGCCAUUGCACAGCAGCUGGCCCUAGUUAGACGAGCCAUAUCUGAAAAGAUUUGUGAUAUUAGGAAGAGGAGCCCUCAGA